CAGUCGCCGCGGUAAUACAGAGGGUGCGAGCGUUAAUCGGAUUUACUGGGCGUAAAGCGUGCGUAGGCGGCUUCUUAAGUCGGAUGUGAAAUCCCUGAGCUUAACUUAGGAAUUGCAUUCGAUACUGGGAAGCUAGAGUAUGGGAGAGGAUGGUAGAAUUCCAGGUGUAGCGGUGAAAUGCGUAGAGAUCUGGAGGAAUACCGAUGGCGAAGGCAGCCAUCUGGCCUAAUACUGACGCUGAGGUACGAAAGCAUGGGGAGCAAACAGGAUUAGAUACACCCGUAGUCCCUGUCUCUUAUAC
rnacentral:rRNA from 1 species